rnacentral:rRNA from 1 species
UACAGAGGGGGCAAGCGUUGUUCGGAAUUACUGGGCGUAAAGGGCGCGUAGGCGGCCAACUAAGUCAGACGUGAAAUCCCCAGGCUCAACCGAGGAACUGCCAUCCAGACUGCUUUGCUUGAGGCCGGGAGAGGUGAGUGGAAUUCCCAGUGUAGCGGUGAAAUGCGUAGAUAUUGGGAGGAACACCAGUGGCGAAGGCGGCUCACUGGACCGGUUCUGACGCUGAGGCGCGAAAGCGUGGGGAGCAAACGGG